rnacentral:lncRNA from 10 species
GUAGCAACAAACCUCUGGUGCCCAGGUCUCUGUUCUCCAAUAAACACCAUUCUCCAGUAAAAGGAACCAGGCUUCUUGAACAAAUGUCGAUCCUAGGACCGAGGGAGGAAAUAGAUAAGAAGAACCUGAAGCAUCUUGUAGGGUCACAGGGUGAGGAGGCGCGAAAUGAAACAAAAUGAAACUGCUGCAGUGAUGGGGCAUCUCAGAGGGACACAGGAGCCAAUGGAAAAGCUCCCAGGGGUCAAAGCCAGAACAAUUUGAGCCCCAAAAAAGUACUAUUGGAUUAGAAUUCAAAGAAUAAAUACCCAUGAUUCCAUACUGCUAUAAAUGAUCAGAUAAGAGAGAAGAGACAAAUCUCCCAGGCAGAAGAAUUCCAGAUUAUUUAUUUAUUUAUUUUUAUUUAAUUUUUUUUUUUACACAGGGUCUUGCUCUGUUGCCCAGGUUGGAGUGCAGUGAUGUAAUCUUGGCUUACUGCAACCUCCACCUCCCAGGUUCAAGCGAUUCUUGUGCCUCAGCCUCCCGAGUAGCUGGGAUCACAGGCAUGCGCUGCCACACUCGGCUAAUUUUUUGUAUUUUUAGUAGAGGCGGGGUUUCACCAUGUUGACCAGGUUGGUCUCAAACUCCUGACCUCAAGUGAUCACCCUCCUCGGCCUCCCAUUCAAGUGCUGGGAUGACAGGUGUGAGCCACCGUGCCCGGCCCCAGGUAAAUUAUAUAGCUAUUCCAUCGUCAAGGAGGUGGAGCGGACUUCCCACAUCCUAAGUGUGGGCUGUGCAUAGUGACUCUCUUCCAAAGAGUACAGUGUGAAAAGAGAGGAGAGAGUAACUUUACAGUGGAGAACACGGACAGACACUACCUCAGCCAGGUGAUCAAAGUCAACUUCAAUAGCGGCAAGUCAUCUUGAGAGAAUGCGUGCCUGAUACAGAGUGCUGAGAAUGAUUCUUAAGCUCUGUGGUCCUCCUCCUCAAAACACACACAAGCCAAGACUAAGGAUGAGAAGCAUCUGCCAAAUCCCAGUUGAGGAACAUUCUACAAAAUACCUGGCCAGCACUCCUCAAAAUGCUCCAUGUGGUAUCCUGGAACAGAAAAAGGACAUUAAGCAAAAACUAAGGCAAUCAGAAUCAACUAUG